ACCUAGUGCUCAUCCUAAUCCUGAGUUGGAUAGUUUUAUUAACUGGAUAGGCUGGUUUAUGAGUUUGUAAUGAGGGAAUUACAUAGUGGUACCUGAAGAUACUAUAUGUACACAUUUUUUUUGCUGUGUCGUAUUAUUAAAGCUGUGAGUCUUGUUCAUUUUAUAGCGCAAAACAGUGGGGGUGAAUGUAAUAGUGUGAUGUUGUUGCGCUAUAUUAUGAACUAGACAGGGUAUUAUAUUUAUUUUGAAGUAACGCUUUUAUUUUGAAGAACCGGAUGUCCGGUGCGGGAAGUGUCUUUGCUGUUUUUCGAUUGCUUUACUUCCUCUUCCUUCGGACUUCUGAACGAGAAGGAGCAGAUAUCACUCCGCCAGAAAGUUGAGACCUGUGUGUGUGUUUUGUGUUUCCAACACAGGUAUGUGGAUUUGUGCAUUAUUAUUUUGUAAGAAAACGUUUUUGUUAAUGUAAUUUAAUUUAUUAUUAUUUUUAUAUGAAUGAAUGAAUGUUACUUCCUCUUCCUUCGGACUUCUGAACGAGAAGGAGCAGAUAUCACUCCGCCAGAAAGUUGAGACCUGUGUGUGUGUUUUGUGUUUCCAACACAGGUUUCCAAUAAAUACUGAACCGACGGCA